GCUUGCCAUGGUGAAGUGGAACUAGCCAGGUGAAGGGGUGGAGCCCCUCCAGGAGGAAGGACUCCCCGCACACCAAGAACACUCCAGAAACAGCCUCCUCCCUUCUGCAACCUCUAACCCUUUCAAGCUCUCUGUGUGUGUGUCUAUGGAUGAGGGACCUGAGAGUUAUAAAGCCAUAUUUCUCUAUCUUCUUUUUAAAACUCUUGUUUGGGCCAGGAGCGGUGGCUCACAUCUGUAAUCUCAGCACUUUGGGAGCCUGAAGCGGGUGGAUCAGCUGAGGUCAAGAGUUCAAGACCAGCCUGGCCAACAUGGUGAAACCCCAUCUCUACUAAAAGUAUAAAAAUUAGCUGGGCAUGGUGGUGGGCGCCUGUAAUCCCACCUACUCAGGAGGCUGAAGCAGGAGAAUCACUUGAACCUGGGAGGUGGAAGUUGCAGUGAGCUGAUAUCAUGCCACUGCACUCCAGCCUGGGCGACAGAGCAAGACUCUGUCUCAAAAAAAAUAAUAAAAAUAAAUAAAUAAAUAAAUAAAACUCUGUUUGGUGACCAUGGUGGGCAGAAUAACACAGCCUCUUCCCCUGACCCCCCUAGAGAGGUCCAUUUCCUAAUCCCUGGAGCCAGUGGAUAUGUUACCUUCCAUAGCAAAAGGGACUGAGAAGAUGAGAUUAAGAAAUUUGAGAUGCGGGCCGGGCGCGGUGGCUCAUGCCGGUAAUCCCAGCACUUUGGGAGGCCGAGGCGGGCAGAUCACGAGAUCGAAAUCAUCCUGGUUAACACGGUGAAACCCUGUCUCUACUAAAAAUACAAAAAGUUAGCCGGGCGUGGUGGCGGGCACCUAUAGUCCCAGUUACUUGGGAGGCUGAGGCAGAGAAUGGGGUGAACCCGGGAGGUGGAGCUUGCAGUGAGCUGAGAUCACACCCCUGCACUCCAGCCUGG
rnacentral:lncRNA from 1 species